UACGUAGGGGGCAAGCGUUGUCCGGAUUUAUUGGGCGUAAAGAGCGUGUAGGCGGUUUGGUAGGUCCGUUGUGAAAACUCGAGGCUCAACCUCGAGACGCCGAUGGAAACCAUCAGACUAGAGUCCGGAAGAGGAGAGUGGAAUUCCUGGUGUAGCGGUGAAAUGCGUAGAUAUCGGGAGGAACACCUGUGGCGAAAGCGGCUCACUGGACCACAACUGACGCUGAGGCGCGAAAGCUAGGGGAGCAAACAGG
rnacentral:rRNA from 1 species